GUGAGGAAGCAAAAUGUAGAUUUGAGAUAAGUGUUUAUGGCUUGCAAUGGAAGUGGCAGAACAUCUCAUAAUCAAGCAGUGACAUCAUACGCAAAGAUGCUAUUGUCAAACAAUAAGGAGGAUGCUUUAAUGUUGAUUUUAGAUGAGAAUGUUUAACUGCAAGACGAUCAAAAGGCCAAGAUGGAUGUUACCAUAUGAGGACAGAAUAAGAAUGUAAAACAUACUAUAAUACCAAAAGCUACAUUUAUCUCUCUGUGAUCUCCGCACACAUAGCAAAUAUAAUUUAUGUACCUGCAUGAUGAUAACAUUAGAUUCAAAGGAUGUUAGCAGAUUUUACAUGAAACCACCAUAAAACAAAGGACAGUGAAACUUACUGAAUCUAGACUCUUAAGAGUUAUUAGUUUCAAGUAGAGUUAUUAGUUUCAAGUGGUACCUAGUUCGAAAUGAACAUAGUAUUAAACUAGCUACUUCUCAGCAUGGCUGCGAAAUCAUGAAGAGGUGUAAUGCGAUUUAUGUUCUUUAGUUAUUCCCUCAUUACGACAUUACCAUGAUUGGAAGUGACAAGUCGGUGGUCUCUUC
rnacentral:lncRNA from 1 species